CCCGGGCCUUGUACACACCGCCCGUCACACCAUGGGAGUUGGUCUUACCCUAAGACGGUACGCUAACCGCAAGGAGGCAGCCGGCCACGGUAAGGUCAGCGACUGGGGUG
rnacentral:rRNA from 1 species